GACAGAGGUCCCAAGCGUUAGGCGGAAUCACUGGGCUUAAAGCGUGUGUAGGCGGAUUUGUAAGUACCUUGUGAAAUCCCACGGCUCAACCGUGGAACUGCUUGGUAUACUGCUUAUCUUGGGUCAUCUAGGGGCGAGCGGAACAAACGGUGGAGCGGUGAAAUGCGUAGAUAUCGUUUGGAACGCCAAUGGUGAAAACAGCUCGCUGGGGAUGUACCGACGCUGAGACACGAAAGCGUGGGGAUCAAACAGG
rnacentral:rRNA from 1 species